GAAGGCAGCACGGUGGUGGCCAUAUGACAGCAUCAGUAUCGAGGACUGGGCUGUCAUAUACCGCAAGUAUGAGCAACCGACAUAUCAGGAUUGAUGUGUCCGAAAUAUCAUGAAUCGAACGAGACAGAACAUCUCGCACUGUGGGGGUUCGAGGCUGUUCGCUUGCCAUAUAGAGCUGAUGAGAGAUCUAGAGAGUAACGAACUUCCUGGUAGGAUCGAGAUCUAUCAGCGGACCCACUAGCGACGAUUAGAGGAGUGAACGAUAGGGAGCUAGAAACUUUAUGGACGUAUGAUAGAGAUUAGAUCUCAGUCUACCUCUGAGGACUCGAUCGCACCCAUAGAUGAUGAGAUUUGUGACCAGAUGCUUGGUAAGAGACCCUAUUACGUUAGGGGGCUAGGGCAUGGGAUUAGAGCUCCCCCAUCCUCACGCUCAUUUAGAGCUGAUGUCCAUGUUGCUUGCAAUGCCCAACUGGUGGAGAUACAGAGAUAGACUGCUGAGGAUUGACAGUGAGCUGAUGAAUUGGCUAUACGCGUUGACUCGUACUAGUUAUUCCAGACAUAGAUGAUCGAGUGGAUGACGUAGAUAGAGUAGAUGAUGGAGCUGAUGAGGCAACAGUAGAUCGGUCCGUCAUACUCCAUCCGUUCUCCUUCUCCAGAUGCUGAUGCUUGACAGAC